GACACAUGGUGAAGGUUAAACAGCAACUCUUUAAUGUAUACAGCACACAUAGUUUAAGCCCCCAACAGCCUCAUUUACAUACAAUAGGUUACAUAGAUUACUAUAGUACAAGGAAGGGUGGGGUCAGAAAAUAGCAAGGGCUGAUGGGAGAUUGAGGAGGGACAGAACAGCUAGUUUAAACUGGUCUUGCAGUGUCCCUGGGACAACGCCC